rfam:Myotis lucifugus cont2.18024, whole genome shotgun sequence.
GGAGGUUCUUGGGUGAUGAACCCGGAGUCAGGCUCCCUCCUCUCUGGUUCUGGGGUUCGUUACCCGAGAACCCCU